CACAAGCGGUGGAGUAUGUGGUUUAAUUCGAUGCAACGCGAAGAACCUUACCUGGUCUUGACAUCCCGGAGACCCUUAGGAAACUAGGGGGUGCUUCCAUCUGGAGGAAUCUGGAGACAGGUGCUGCAUGGCUGUCGUCAGCUCGUGUCGUGAGAUGUUGGGUUAAGUCCCGCAACGAGCGCAACCCUUGCCUUUAGUUGCCAGCAGUUCGGCUGGGCACUCUAAAGGGACUGCCGGUGUUAAACCGGAGGAAGGUGGGGAUGACGUCAAGUCCUCAUGGCCUUUAUGACCAGGGCUACACACGUACUACAAUGGCCGAUACAAAGGGCAGCGACACUGCGAGGUGAAGCCAAUCCCGUAAAAUCGGUCUCAGUCCGGAUUGGAGUCUGCAACUCGACUCCAUGAAGUUGGAAUCGCUAGUAAUCGUGGAUCAGCAUGCCACGGUGAAUACGUUCCCGGGCCUU
rnacentral:rRNA from 1 species